AGCCAUGCAAUAAACACAAAGCGAACUAUUCUUUCGCCUUUUACUAAAGAAUACCGUGCGUUUGUUGCUUUGAGUGGCAUACGCUAAUUUUUUGAAAGGAGACCUUCUAAUCGGAGGUU